rnacentral:rRNA from 1 species
AUUGAACGCUGGCGGCAUGCCUUACACAUGCAAGUCGAACGGCAGCACGGGAGCAAUCCUGGUGGCGAGUGGCGAACGGGUGAGUAAUAUAUCGGAACGUGCCCAGUCGUGGGGGAUAACGUAGCGAAAGCUACGCUAAUACCGCAUACGAUCUAUGGAUGAAAGCGGGGGAUCGCAAGACCUCGCGCGAUUGGAGCGGCCGAUAUCAGAUUAGGUAGUUGGUGAGGUAAAGGCUCGCCAAGCCGACGAUCUGUAGCUGGUCUGAGAGGACGACCAGCCACACUGGGACUGAGACACGGCCCAGACUCCUACGGGAGGCAGCAGUGGGGAAUUUUGGACAAUGGGCGCAAGCCUGAUCCAGCAAUGCCGCGUGCAGGAUG